UACGUAGGGGGCAAGCGUUGUCCGGAUUUAUUGGGCGUAAAGAGCGUGUAGGCGGUUAGGUAGGUCCGUUGUGAAAACUCGAGGCUCAACCUCGAGACGCCGAUGGAAACCAUCUGACUAGAGUCCGGAAGAGGAGAGUAGAAUUCCUGGUGUAGCGGUGAAAUGCGUAGAGAUGUGGAGGAACACCAGUGGCGAAGGCGGCUUUCUGGUCUGUAACUGACGCUGAGGCGCGAAAAGCGUGGGGAGCAAACAGG
rnacentral:rRNA from 1 species